ACGGGUGAGUAACACGUGGAUAACCUACCCAUAAGACUGGGAUAACUUCGGGAAACCGGAGCUAAUACCGGAUAACAUGUUGAACCGCAUGGUUCAACAGUGAAAGACGGUCUUGCUGUCACUUAUAGAUGGAUCCGCGCCGCAUUAGCUAGUUGGUAAGGUAACGGCUUACCAAGGCAACGAUGCGUAGCCGACCUGAGAGGGUGAUCGGCCACACUGGAACUGAGACACGGUCCAGACUCUUACGGGAGGCAGCAGUAGGGAAUCUUCCGCAAUGGGCGAAAGCCUGACGGAGCAACGCCGCGUGAGUGAUGAAGGUCUUCGGAUCGUAAAACUCUGUUAUUAGGGAAGAACAAAUGUGUAAGUAACUAUGCACGUCUUGACGGUACCUAAUCAGAAAGCCUCGGCUAACUACGUGCCAGCAGCCGCGGUAAUACGUAGGUGGCAAGCGUUAUCCGGAAUUAUUGGGCGUAAAGCGCGCGUAGGCGGUUUUUUAAGUCUGAUGUGAAAGCCCACGGCUCAACCGUGGAGGGUCAUUGGAAACUGGAAAACUUGAGUGCAGAAGAGGAAAGUGGAAUU
rnacentral:rRNA from 1 species